UACAGAGGUCCCGAGCGUUGUUCGGAUUCACUGGGCGUAAAGGGUGCGUAGGCGGCGUGGAAAGUCAGAUGUGAAAUCCGGAGGCUCAACCUCCGAAUUGCAUCCGAUACUUCCGCGCUAGAGAGUUGUAGGGGAGCUUGGAAUUCUCGGUGUAGCAGUGAAAUGCGUAGAUAUCGAGAAGAACGCUCGCAGCGAAGGCGAAGCUCUGGGCAACAUCUGACGCUGAUGCACGAAGGCUAGGGGGAGCGAACAGG
rnacentral:rRNA from 1 species